rnacentral:rRNA from 1 species
GACGAACGCUGGCGGCGUGCCUAAUACAUGCAAGUCGAACGCAGUGGGGACGGGUGAGUAACACGUGGGUAACCUCCCAUCAGAGGGGAUAACACUUGGAAACUGCUGCUAAACCGAUACUGAUGGAUGGAUCCGCGGUGCAUUAGCAAGUUGGUGAGGUAACGGCGAACCAAGGCUACGAUGCAUAGCGGACCGUAGAGGGUGAUAGGCCACACUGGGACUGAGACAAGGCCCAGACUCCUACGGGAGGCAGCAGUGGGGAAUCUUCGGCAAGGGGCGAAAGUCUGACCGAGCAACGCGGCGUGAGUGAAGAAGGUGUUCGGAUCGUAAAGCUCUGUUGUUAGAGAAGCGGUAUCUAACCAGGAAGCCACGGCUAACUACGUGCCAGCAGCCGCGGUAAUAC